GCAACAUUACAGCACCUAGUCCAAGUGUUACACUGUUCUAUAGUCUCGUACCGCUUCAUCCUUUACCAAAAAGGAGGCAAGCACUCAAGUCUGGUUGAUGAGCCAGAACCUCUGGGCCAGAGCGUGAUUAACGGCUAGGAUGCUCCGGUCGGUGCCAUUCUCCAGCUGUAGAGGAUCGUUCCUGCUUGGCUGGCUUGUCCUAGUCAGGGUGGUUCAGAAGUUUUCUGACAGACU